rnacentral:tRNA from 1 species
GCCGAUGUAGCUCAGCUGGUCUAGAGCGGCGGAUUCAUAACCCGCAGGUCGGUGGUUCGAGUCCACCCAUCGGCA